rnacentral:rRNA from 1 species
AUGAAAUUUUGGUAUGUCUUACCUGGCUGGGAGGGUUCUGCUUCCAACUCUAGAGUCCUCCGUGACUCCAUGAGAACUAAUCGCCAAGAUGCAUUUGUUGUACCUCAUGGAAGAUAUUACUUGGCUGAUGCUGGUUACACGAAUGGGCCUGGAUUUCUAGCUCCAUUCAGAUCCACUCGAUAUCACUUGAAAGAGUGGGCAUCAAGUCAGCUACAACCCAAAACGGCCAAAGAGCUAUAUAACUUGCGCCACUCUCGUGCUAGAAAUGUAGUAGAGAGAACUUUUGGGUUGUGGAAGAAGAAGUGGGCUAUCCUUCGCACUCAAAGUUUCUUUGAUAUAAAGGACCAGGUACAUGUGUCCAUUGGGUUUUCAAUAAGAUGCCUAACGGAGUGA